rnacentral:rRNA from 1 species
AUUGAACGCUGGCGGCAGGCCUAACACAUGCAAGUCGAGCGAGCGGCGGACGGGUGAGUAAUGUCUGGGAAACUGCCUGAUGGAGGGGGAUAACUACUGGAAACGGUAGCUAAUAACGCAUACCAUCAGAUGUGCCCAGAUGGGCUUAGCUAGUAGGUGGGGUAACGGCUCACCUAGGCGAAGAUCCCUAGCUGGUCUGAGAGGAUGACCAGCGCAACUGGAAAUGAUGCACGGUCCAGACUCCAACGGGAGGCAGCAGUGGGGAAUAUUUAACAAUGGGGGCAAGCCUGAACCAGCCAGGACGGGUGUGGGAAGAAGGCCUUAUGGUUGGAAAGCACCUUAAGCUAGGAGGCGUUACUCGCAGAAUAAGCACCGGCUAACUCUGUGCCAGCAGCCGCGGUAAUAC